rnacentral:lncRNA from 1 species
AGAAAAAAACAAAACAAUAAAUUACCCAAGACGAACCCGGUACAACUUCAGCCUUCAGGUGCAAAACUUCAAUGUUUGCACCGGAAGUUAUGCACAACUGCAGAUAAACCCUAAUUUUGAUUAAAACAUAUCCCUCAAAUUGAUUAUCAUUAUCGGUACAUUCAAAAAUAUAAUGAUCUCUACCAACAACCAAAAAAAUUUAGACCACAAAAAUAACAAUGUACUCACCCUUCGGAUUGGAGUCCGAAGAAUUCUGGAAGAGGAAGGAAAGGAAGUUGUCUGGUCUAUCACUCUGUCUCAAGUCGAAUUGAAAUAAGGUAUGAAAAUUGAAACAAUGCCGUGCAAUUUAUGUUUGCAAUUGUGCAGUCCAA